GGGGUCGACUGGUUUUGACAGCGAGACUCAUUGAAUGGUAAGCACGUCGUGUAAUGACAUUGAUACACGUAAAAGGCUAGGUCAACUUUUUAAUCGGCGAGAAUAACUACGCUUUAGCUGCAUAAUCUGAAUCACAGUAAGAUUAAGCCUCGUCCUACUAGGUAGGAGUGCUAAAUGUCUCCAGAAAGCCUUGGUUAAUGGCGUUCUUAUUAGAGGCAUCGAAAAUAUUAACUUAGAUCGUGUGACGCUUUGAUGCACUUUCGAGAUUAAGAAGAUAAGUUAUAAGUGGGCUGUCUUUUGCCAGCUUAUAAUCGAAAACCUGAUGAAAGACUAAACGUGUAGAAGGCUUUUUAAUAGCUUGUUUGGACGAGAGUUCGAUUCUCUCCGACUCCACAA
rnacentral:tmRNA from 1 species